rnacentral:rRNA from 1 species
GGCCCGGUUGGAUGGUCUGCUCUAGGGCUUGUACUGUCCUGACUGGGUCUUACCUUCUGGUGAGCUGUCGUGUUGUUUACUCAGUGCGGCAGGGAACCAGGACUUUUACUUUGAAAAAAUUAGAGUGUUUAAAGCAGGCUUACGCUUGAAUACAUUAGCAUGGAAUAAUAGAAUAGGACU